rfam:Schistosoma mattheei strain Denwood, Zambia genome assembly, scaffold: SMTD_scaffold0004209
GGACUGCUAAAAAGUCCCACGAUAGGACGAAACGGCCGUCCAGUGC